rnacentral:rRNA from 1 species
AUGCUCCUCAUAUUUGUUCUGUACUUAGUUGUCUGGCGGUGCCAGAGUCCCAGAAAUAACGAGAAGAAACUGGUUAUGGUUGUCUGCGAGGGAAGGAUUGCUUCUCUUCUGUUCGUGCCCAACUAUUGGACCCUGUUGAGCCGAAACUGUGGAGGCAGAAUAAUUAUGCGCUGCUGGGCCUCUCCUGGUCCUGUAUACUUUACUAGUGCUGCUGUUCCGGCGUCUGUUUGUGAUUUAAUGGUUCGAUGUGAACUUGAAUGGCGGAGAAACAUUUUCUUCCCAAUAGGUGGUAGAGAUUUUUCUAUCUGA